rnacentral:rRNA from 1 species
UACGGGGGGGGGUAAGCGUUGUUCGGAAUUACUGGGCGUAAAGGGCUCGUAGGCGGCCAACUAAGUCAUACGUGAAAUCCCUCAGCUUAACUGGGGAACUGCGUGUGAUACUGGAUGGCUUGGAUUUGGGAGAGGGAUGCGGAAUUCCAGGUGUAGCGGUGAAAUGCGUAGAUAUCUGGAGGAACACCGGUGGCGAAGGCGGCAUCCUGGACCAAUAUUGACGCUGAGGAGCGAAAGCCAGGGAGCAAAGCGGG